rnacentral:lncRNA from 1 species
AGAAGUUGCAGUUAAUAGAGUAGGAAUCAUUAAAACACCGAACCAUCCGAUGUAAAGGCGGUUUUCAGUGCUGGUAACCCAGUCGCAGAAGCGACCCCAUAGGCUUGCGCUUUCGCGUCUUUCUAAAGUAGCAGUCAUGGUAAAUCUUGGUUUGUAAAAUAAUAAUAAGUUACCCAAGUGUAUAAACUUGUUAAUUUAUAGUAUUACACAAAAUGUAUUAUUAUGUCAACUGAUCUUUAAAAUAAAAAAUUUCUUUUUUUAUAAAAAAUUUUAAUUCAAAUUUCAUUGGGUUGCCCGGGGCUCGAACCCGGAGCUAGUCGGAUGAAAGUGGAUGAUUUUAACUUUAUUUAAAAAAUAAAAAUUAAAAUAUCUCUUCCCAAACCGUGCUUGCAACUUUUAUUGCACACGGCUUUCUCUAUAUAUUUAGUCUAUUUGUUUUUAGUAUUUUUUUUUGCAAUAAUUUUGCUAAAGCAUUUAUUUGAAGAAUAUUAAGAUACCAAAUUUUUUUUAUCGAAGGAUAUAGUUUAAAAAAUUUUAAGCUAAUUAAUUCUUGUUUUUUAAAAAAAAAAGAUUUUGCAAAAAAGUUUGAUCCAUACUUUUUCCAAACAUAACGUAUAGUACUUUUAUGUUUACACGCUAAUGUUUUAGCACAAGAAAAUCGAAGUAUGUAUUGUACUUGAUAUAAGUUUUUUUUAUUUUUGCAUCCACUAUAAUAAUAAAAAAAAUUUCUCCAAAUUUGAUCAAAACGAUUAAAAAUUUCAUCAUCUGUUAAAGUUGUCCAAGCUAAUUUACUUAUGGGGUGCCCUAAAGUAUCACAAAAGUUUUCUUUAGCUAAUAAUUCAAUUAAAGAUGAUAUUGGAGUAAUAGAAUAAAUUUCUUUUCUGCUAAUAUUUAUUUUAGAUAAAGUAUGUAUCAUGUUAGAUUUAACUAUAAUACUUUUUGUUUGAAUACCAAAAACAUAUCCUAAAAAAGAAAAGCAGUUUUUAGAAAUUUUUUUUAAAUUUAUUCUAGAAAGUUUAAAUAAAUAGUAAAAAUAAUAUUGCCAAAACUUAUAAAAAAAAAAUUUCCAUUUUUCUGCUAAAAAAUUGGAGUUUUUUAUUGCUAUAAUAAAAUGAUUUUCAUAUCUUACAUAAUGGAAAGACAUUUUUUUUUUAUAAAAAAAUUGUAAUUUAAUAUCUAAGGGUUUUUUAAUAACAUGUUGAAUUUUUGUAAUACAAUAUGUUUUAUUAAGUGAAAUUAAAUAUGACAAUGAUUUAAAGUAAUUUAAAGUUUUCCAUUGAUUUACUAAAAAAAAUUCUAAUUCAUAAAUAUAAGAAUGCCAUAAAAAUAUUGAUAAUUUAGUUAUUUCUCUUUGAGAAAAAAUAUUUAAAGUAACUAACUUUUUAUUUUUAUGAAAUAUUAAUCGUAAUAAAUGUGAAAAAGAAGCAUCUUGUAUGCGUCGACGAAGAAUUCGUAUCAGAAGUUCUGGAUGAAUUAAAGAAGGUAUUUUUGUAUUUAGAAUAUAAUUAGAAUGUAAAAAAUUAUCUUCUAUAAAAGGGAAUACAGUAUGAAUAGAUUGAUAAUUAGUCCAUUCAGUAAAUUUUUUUACAAUUUUUUUUUUUGAUUGUACUAAAAAAAAAUUUUCUAAAAUUAUAGCAAGUCCUUCUCGAAUUACUUUUGAAUAAAAAUAAUUGUUGUAAUUAAUAUCAAAAAUUUUAUUAUAAUUUUUAUUUAAUUCUUCUAUAUUUCUUUUUCGACGGAUUCUUUUAACUAAACGUUUUAAUGUUAAAAAACUAAAAUGUUUAUUUAAAUUAGAAUUUUCUAUUUUUUUUAAAUUAAAUUUAUUUAAAGAAUGAUUAUAAGCAAGUGCGUAAAAAUCAUUUUGAAAUAAAAGUGGAUAUAAAAAACGUUGUUGCCAUAUAAGUUUUUUUUUAUUUUUUUUUAGUUUUUCCAUUUCGGAUAAAAUUUUUGUUAUAGCUCUUAUAAUAUUUUUUUAUAAGUACCUUUUUCAAAUAGAAAAUAAUAUAUACUGCAAUCUAUUAAAAGAAAAUUAAAUAAAGUUUUACUUAUAAAAUAAAAUUUCUUUAAUUUUUUUUUGUAAUAAAAAAAUUGAUUGCUCUCCUGACUUAAGUUUUUUUUAGUCAGCACACUGGUGAUUUAUUUACAUUUUUUUUAAUAGUUAGGAUUCAUUUUCAGUAAAAAUAACCUUAUUUUUAAAUAUAUAAGGUUAAACCUCUUUUAUAUUGACUGUUAAUUUUAUUUUAACUUUUUAAUUAAUACAAAGAAUUCAAAAUUAAUUUAUUGAAUAGAAGCUCGUUCUUCUGAUUUUACUUUUGAUUCAAGCAUUUAGCUUUAUCCAUUAAUUUUUUCGACUUAAUUAAAAAAGAGAAACGACAUGCUAUUUUUUCUGGCAAAUUUCUCUUUGAGAUUAGUCGUAGUCUUGCAAACCCUGUCAAUGGUUUGGAUGAAUUUAAUAUUUCAUCUAAAUGUAUAAAAUUCCUUAGUCGCACUUAAAAGCCGAGUACUCUACCAUUGAGUUAGCAACCCUUGUUUUUUGUUUUUAUUAAAAAAUAAUAAUUUUUUCUUUAAUUUUACUAAAAAAUUAUUAAAUUUAUAUACAAAUAAUAAAUAUAUAAUUUUAUUAUUUAUAUAUAUAAUAUAAAUUUUUUUUAAAUAAAAUUUGUAUAAAUAUUUAAUAGAUUUAAUAAAUAUUAAGAAAUAUCAUCAUGAUUAUAUGUUAGUAACUUUUUUUUGUCAAUGCUAAAUAAAAAAGUAUACUUUUUUUUUCAAUUAUUUACUUUUAUCUAUAUAUAUAUAUUUUUUUUUAUUUUUAGUAUUUUUUUAAUAAGAAUCAGUUUUUUUGACUGAAAAUUUCAGUCAAAAAAAACUGAUUCUUAUUAAUUAUUUUUUAUUAAAAUUAAAUUUAUUUUCUAUAUAAUUUGAAAAAAAAGAAAAAAUAUUGGAAAUAUUAACAGAAUUUUUGAUUGGAAUAAAAAAAACUAAAUAAAUAUAUAAUAAAAAAAAAAAAAUGGAUAAUAAAAUACUAACUGAAAAAAAGAAAAAGUGGGACUCAUAAACUUCUCCUAAAAUAUAAAUUAAAUUUGUUCAAAUAUUUUUAUGUUUUUAUUUUUUCAAAUGUUAUAAAAAUUUUUAUUUUUAUUAUUUUUUUUAUUUGAAUUAAGCUAAUUUAAACCUUUUUUUUAAGCACUUAAUGCUUCUUUAGCUGCAUACAUUAUUUCAACAGUAAUAGUGGUAAUAUUGUUUUGUCUUGCAAAUUUUUCGGUAUUUCUUUUAAUUUUACCUCUAACAAAUCCAGGUAUUUUGUUUAAUUCCAAUUGACUUUCAUAAUUCCAAGUUAAAUCUGUAUCUGUUGAUAAUGAUUUUGUGAUUACUUCUUUUGUAUCAUGACCACCAAAAAUUUCUAAAAGAUGAUCUUCCAUACCUAAAGUAAAAGAAUUAUAAAUUAAGUCAGCUAUUUGAUUAGUCCCUUCAUAACCUAAAAACGGACGAUAUCCUAGCGGAAAAUUUUGAAUAUGAACUGGUGAAGAAAUAACUCCACAGGGAAUAUCAAGACGUUUACCAAUAUGACGUUCCAUUUGAGUUCCAAAUAUUGCAGAUGGCUCGAUUCGAGCAAUCAUAUCACCUACUUCAGUAUGAUCAUCUGUAGUUAAAAUUUCAUCACAGAAACCUUGAACUUGUUCUUUAAACCAUUCUGUAUCAUGUUUACAAUAAGUACCUGUGCAACCUACACGAAUUCCCAUUUCUCUAGCAAGAAUUCGAGUUAUUGAAGCUGCGUGAGUUGCAUCACCAAAAACAACUGCUUUUUUUCCUGUUAAAUUUUGACAGUCAAUAGAUCGUGAAAACCAAGCUGCUUGAGAAACAAAUCUUGUUUGUUGAUCAAUAUAAGGUUCAUAAUCAACUUUUUUAUUAGGAAUCAAGUUGUUUACAUGUUUUUGUAUUUGUCGGAUACAUUCAGCUGUAUCUACAAUUCCCAUAGGUGUAAUAGAUACGUAAGGCAUUCCAAAAUUUUUUUCUAAAUAAAUAGCUGUCAUUAAACCUAUUUCUCGAUACGGAACUAAAUUAAACCAAGCUUUUGGUAAACUUUGAAGAUCUUUUACAGAGCCUCCUUCAGGAAUUACUUUAUUAACUUUAAUAUUUAAAUCUUGUAAUAAACGUUUUAAUUCACGACAAUCAUGCUGAUUAUGAAAACCUAAUGUAAAAAUUCCAAUAAUAUUUGCUGAAGGUUCUUUUGUUAAAGAUUGAUCUAAUGUUCCUUGUCUACGAGCUUUUUCUAAAUAAUAGCGAACUACUUGUUCUAAAGUUCUAUCUGCGGCUUGAAGUUCAUUAACUCGGUAAUGAUUAACAUCUGCUAAAAUAACAUCUGAGUUUGAUGUGGUAGAAGCUCUAUCAACAAAGUUUUGUAAAUCUUCUUGUAAAAUACUAGAAGUACAAGUAGGUGUUAAUACAAUUAAAUCUGGGCGCUCUUCUUUAUCUUUUCGAUUUAUAUUGUCAACUACUUUUUCUUGAGAUCCACGUGCUAAUACGUGACGAUCUACUAUACUAGCAGUUACAGGUGUAAAAUCUCUUUCUCUUUCUAACAUAGAACGCAUUACAUUAAAAUAAUCGUCUCCUAAAGGAGCAUGCAUAAUAGCAUGAACAUUUUUAAAAGAACUCGCUACACGGAGGGUUCCAAUAUGAGCAGGUCCAGCAUACAUCCAAUAAGCUAAUUUCAUAAAUAUAAUCUCUUUAUAAAUUUUCAAUAAAUAAUAAUAUUAUCUUUUUUAUUUUACACCAUAGAAAUAUCCCUUGCCAUAUUUAUGUAAUUGUCAUACUAUGGUAUUUCUAAUACAAUAUAUUAUUAAUUAUUAAUAAUAGAAAUAAUUUUUUUAAUAUUUUAUUUAAAUUUUUUUUUCUAUAUUUUUUAUAUAUUUGUUAAAAAAGUCAAUCUGGGACGGAAGGGUUCGAACCUCCGAAUAACAGGAUCAAAACCUGCUGCCUUACCACUUGGCCACGCCCCAUAAAUAUACACUAUUAGUAAAUAGUUAUAUUUAUAUUUUGUCAAGUGCUUUAUUUAUCUUUUUAUUAUUAAAUAAUAUUAUUAAUAUUAAUAAAAAAAGAAAAUAACUCUUGUUAAAAAUAUAUAACCUCUUUGACACUAAUAAAACCUAUAGUAAGAUAUACCGAAGAGCUUUUUUUAUUAACUAAUGAAGUCUUUUUCAUUUUUUAUUAAAUCAUUAUAAUAAUUUUUAUUGGAGAACAUAAAUGCUAGCUAUAUUUAAUAUUUAUCUAGAUAACGCGUUUCAUUUAAAUGGUAUCAUUUUGGCUAAAUUACCUGAAGCUUAUGCUAUUUUUGAUCCAAUUGUUGAUGUAAUGCCAAUUAUUCCUGUAUUUUUUUUCCUUUUAGCUUUUGUUUGGCAAGCUUCUGUGAGUUUUAGAUAAUUUUUUUUAUUACAGAAUUAAAAUUUUUAGAUAUAUAUAUUUUUUUUACAACUUUUUUUAUAGCUUUUAUUUUAAAAUUAUAGGGCGGAAGUGAAAAAAGUCACUUCCGCCUUGUGUAUAUAUGAUAUAAAUAUUUAUUAUUUUUUAUUUACACUUAAAAAAUUAUUUUUUAAUCAUUUAUUAAUUAUUUAUUAGAUUUUAGUUAAAAAAUUUUUAUUAAUUGCAAAUUAAUUUUUUUAUUCAAAAAUUUAAAUUAAAUUUUUUUUUUUAAUUUUUUGGAGAAAUGGCGGAACAGUUAAUUCUAUUUAUUUUAAAAUUGUUUUAGCCUUAUCUCAUUUUUAUGUUAACGGAGGUUCAAAUCCUCCUUUCUCCAGUAUUUUUAAUUUAUAAUCUAUUCUAUUCUAUUUCUAGUAAUGAUCCCGGAGAUUACGUUAUGCUUACUCUUAAGCUGUUCGUUUACACAGUGGUUAUUUUUUUCGUUUCUCUUUUUGUUUUUGGAUUUUUGUCAAAUGAUCCUGGUCGUAAUCCUGGACGUAAAGAAUAACUUUUUUCUAUAUAACAUAUUAUUAAAAUAAUAAAAAUAAUAUUUUAUAAAAUUAUUUAUUUUUUAUAAAUUAUAAAAAUUUCAAGUUAAAGGAGAGAGAGGGAUUCGAACCCUCGGUACAAAAAAAUGUACAACGGAUUAGCAAUCCAUCGCUUUAAGCCACUCGGCCAUCUCUCCAAUCAAAAAAUCAUAACAUGUUGUAGAAGUAUAAGUCUAUACAAUAAUAAUAUUAGAUUAUGUAUAUUCUUUUAUUUAUAUAAUAAUAAAUAAUUUUAUUUUAAUAAAAUAGUUUUAAUUCAAUUUGUUUUUUUAUUUUAUGUAUUUAAGCCUAGCCAGCUAUUGGUACUGGCCAGGUUAUAUUUUUUUGUAAAUAAAAAAAAAAAAGAUUAAUCAAAUUAUUGAUAUAAACUUUUACCUAAUCUUAAAGCUAAAAUACCUGUUAUAAAAGCACUGACAAGAGCUACAAUAAUUUGACUGUCUGAAAUGGAUGUCAUAUUUUUCUCUCCUAAUAAUUUAUAAUAUAAACCAUUAAUUUAUUUAAAUUUUUUAUUUUAAUUAUUAAAUUACUAAAAAUUUUUAAUUAAUAGACUUUUUUAUUACUUAAAUAAAAUUUUAAAUGAAUAGGCUUUUUAUUAUUGUACAGCUCUUAAUUCUAUAUCGCUAUAGAUAUUUUUUUUUUAUUUAUUUUUUUUUUAUUUUUUUUCAUAGAAUCAAUUGAAAAUGGAGAGGUUAAACCAAAAUGAAUUUAGAGGUUAUUGCGCAACUUAUUGCUUUGGCUUUAAUAGUUGGAUCAGGCCCUUUAGUAAUUGCUUUAUUGGCUGCACGUAAAGGCAAUUUAUAAUUUUAAAAACCAUCUCCGGAAAUGAAAGAGCUUUUUUUUAAGUAUUAAAUCUCCGGGGAUGGAGUUUUAAGUAAAAAAAUUACAGAUAAAAAAUAAUAAAAUUUAUGCUAUAAUAAAAAUGUAGCGGGUAUAGUUUAGUGGUAAAAGUGUGAUUCGUUUUAUAAUUAACUUAAACAUAGUUAAGGGGUCUUUAAUUUUAUUAUUAGAUUUUUGACCAAUAACUUUAUUUCUAAAAAUAUUUAAAAUUUUUCCUAAAAAAAGAAAAGCAUAAUUCCUGCAAUAAUAAAAAAAAGCAACACGGAAUUUUUUCAGCUAAAAAUCUAUGGAUAGAAAACUAAGAUAUUUUUUUUCGUAACUAAAUCUUUAAUCAAAUAGAAAUUAAAGCAAUUUAGCUUUAAAUAAUAAAUUUAGUUUACUAAAUUUAUUUAUAUUUAUAAUAAAGCUCGGUAAAAAAUAUUUUCCUAAUGAUUUAUUUUAAUAGAAAUAAAGAACGAAGUAAUUAUAAAUUUUUUUGUUAAAAAUUUAUAACAGGAUCAUCUAUAAAGUUAUUUAAUAGAAAUAAAAAACUAACAUAGAUGGUAUGGAUCUACUUAAAUAUAAUAAAAAAAAUUUGGUCCAUAAAGGAGCCGUAUGAUAUUAAAAUUUCAUAUUCGGUUUUGAAAUAGAGGCGAUAAUAUAAUAAAAACGUCGACUAUAACCCUUAGCCUUCCAAGCUAAUGAUGUGGGUUCGAUUCCCACUACCCGCCUUUUUGUAUAUAUAUUUUUUGAUAUAAAAAAAUAUAUAUAUAUGUAUAAAUAUACACAGUAUAUAAAACUUUUUUUUUAUAAAUAACUAAAAUUAUUAAAAAAAGCAUCCAUCGUCUAAUGGAUAGGACAGAGGUCUUCUAAACCUCCAGUAUAGGUUCGAAUCCUAUUGGGUGUAGGAUUUAAAAAAAUACAAAAUUAAUAUUUUUAUUUUUACUAUAAAAAAAAAUAUUUGUUUUUUUAUUUAAGGUUUAAAAAAAAAGAAAAAAGCCGAAAAGUUAUUUUUUCGGCUUUUUUCUUUUUUUUUAAACCUUAAAUAAUUAAAUUUUUACUUGUCUUCUUGAAGUAAAAAAAGUUCAGUAUGUUCUUUAAUAGCUUCUUUCAAAAUACCUUCCGCUUGCUCUGUAAAGACUUUGGUGGAACGUAUUAUUUCCGCAAAUUGUGGUUUAUUAGUAGUUAAAUAUUCACGCAAUUGAACAAGAAAUUUUUUAACUUGAUCAACUUCUAAUACAUCUAAAUAUCCAUUUACUCCAGUGUAAAUAGUAGCUACUUGCUCUUCUACAGCUAAAGGAGAGGACUGAGAUUGUUUAAGUAAUUCGCGUAAUCUUUGACCUCUUGCUAAUUGAUUUUGAGUAGCCUUAUCAAGAUCAGAUGCAAAUUGUGCAAAUGCUUCUAAUUCAGCAAAUUGAGCUAAUUCUAAUUUUAAUUUUCCAGCUACUUGUUUCAUAGCUUUAAUUUGAGCAGCAGACCCUACUCUAGAAACAGAAAUACCUACAUUAAUUGCAGGACGAAUCCCUGCAUUAAACAAAUCUGCUGAUAAGAAGAUUUGUCCAUCAGUAAUAGAAAUUACAUUAGUAGGAAUAUAAGCAGAAACAUCUCCUGCUUGAGUUUCAACAAUAGGUAAAGCAGUCAUACUUCCUUCACCUAAUUGUGAACUUAAUUUAGCAGCUCGUUCUAAAAGACGAGAAUGUAAAUAAAAAACAUCCCCUGGAUAUGCUUCUCUACCAGGUGGUCUUCUUAAUAAAAGAGACAUUUGUCUAUAAGCUUGUGCUUGUUUAGAAAGAUCAUCAUAAAUUAUUAAAGUAUGUUGUUUACGAUACAUAAAAUAUUCUGCUAGUGCAGCCCCUGUAUAAGGAGCUAAAUAUUGCAACGUAGCUGGAGAGUUUGCUGCUUCAGCUACUACAAUUGUAUAUUCUAAUGCACCACGCUCUUCAAAAGUAUUAACUACUUGAGCUACUGAAGAAGCUUUUUGUCCAAUAGCUACAUAAACACAUAUUACAUUUUGUCCUUUUUGAUUCAAAAUAGUAUCUGUAGCUACGGCUGUUUUACCAGUUUGUCGGUCUCCAAUAAUUAACUCACGUUGACCACGUCCAAUAGGAAUCAUAGAAUCGAUAGCAAUAAGACCUGUCUGCAUAGGUUCAUAUACAGAACGUCUUGAAAUAAUACCAGGCGCAGAAGAUUCAAUUAAUCUAAAUUCUGAAGCAGGUAUUUGGCCUUUACCAUCAAUAGGUUGAGCUAAAGCAUUUACAACACGACCUAAGUAGCCAUCACUUACAGGUAUUUGAGCAAUUUUCCCUGUUGCUUUUACAGAACUACCUUCUUGAAUAGUUAAACCAUCACCCAUUAAUACAACACCAACAUUAUCCGAUUCUAAAUUUAAGGCAAUUCCGAUACUAUUAUCUUCAAAUUCAACUAAUUCACCAGCCAUUACUUUAUCAAGACCGUAAAUACGUGCAAUACCAUCUCCUACUUGAAGUACAGUACCAACAUUUACAACUUUAAUUUCUUGACUAUAGUCUUCUAUCUGUUUACGGAUAAUACUGCUAAUUUCAUCAGGUCGAAUUUUUACCAUUAGCGUUCGUUAAUAAUUUUUUGAAAAAUAAAACUAAUGAAAGCUAAUCACUUGUGCUUUCCAUGGCUCUAAGUAGGCCAAUAUGAUAAUCAAUUACGCGUGAAUGUAAUUCGCUAUUUAAACGCUUAUUUAAAGCUUCUAAAGCUCUUUCUAAUGCAAGACGAGAAACUUGUUGUCGAACUUGUUCAAUAGCUCUCUGUUCUUCAAAACGAAUAGUAGCAUUUUUUGAAUCUUCUAAUCGUUUGGAAUCUUCAUCAGCAGCAUUUAUUAAUUCUUUUUUUUCUCUCUCUAUUUGUGAAAGACCGUUUACACGAAUUUCAUCUGCUUUUACUUUUGCUCGUUCUAAUCGCUCUCGAGCUUGGUUAAGUUUAUCAGUUGCUUCAUUAUACCGUUCUUCUGCAUCCUUAAUUGUACUUAAAAUGGUCUGUUUACGAUUACUUAAUAAAUUAUUUAAUGAAAGUAGAUUAUUUAUCGAGAAUUUUUACGAAUUAAAAAUCUCUUCCCAAACCGAACAUGAAUUUUUCAAUUCAUUCGGGUUUCUCGCUUAGUUAAAUAAACUAAGCCUGGCUCUGAUAAUUUUUUAAUUUCUUUGUAAUUUUAUUUAUAAAAAUUUUAUAUUUAUUUAUUUAAAGAAAAAAAAUUAGAAGCUCUUCUGACAAAUUUUUUUGUUUUUUUUAAUUGUCAGCAAGGUUACUUUUUUGAAUAACUUAUAUUAGACUUUUUUAGGUUGUCAAUUUAGCAUAAUAAACCAAAACUGGUUAAUUUUUAGAGAUAAUAAUAACUUAUUAAAUAAGUUUAAGAAAUUUUUUGAUAUGAGUGUUAUAUAUCAAAUUAAUCUCCAAAUAUGCUUUUUUUUAUAUAAUAAAAAACAUUUGAGGGAAAGAAAAACCCCAAUAGUGCUUAGACUUCAAGCAUUUUAGCUUUAACCAUUUUCUUAAUAUUUCCGAAUAAAGUAGUAAAAAAAAAGAAAAAAUUACUAUUUUUACGAAAUGCUAUAGUUGUUCUAAAUUUUAUUUAGAAGUUAUUCGUCGGAAUUAUACACUUUCUUUUUAUUUUGAAGUGUAACUGGACUAUUCCAGCUGUUUUAUUCAAAUAAUUAACCCGCACACACUCCCUUUCCAAAGUAAACUAAUAAGCCAACCACCACACUUAAAUUAAUUAAAUUAGUUUCUAAAAGGUUUGUAUUUAAACCAAAGUUACCAGCAAUAGGCCAAUAACCUGAAAAAAUAACUAAAUUAAUAAUAUUUUUCAUAUUCUCUCUCCCAUUAAUAGAUUAUUUAAGCUUUACAGAAUAUUUUCUUACUUAGAAUUACUCGAGUUUUUAAUUCUAAAUAAAAACUAAUAUAUUUAGUUUGUAUUUAAAUUAGUAAUAAAAGUAAAAAAUACUUUGUUUGCUUUUCACAAAAGUCAUAAAAAUUUUUUACUAAAAGAUAGGAAAAGAUUAUAUAUGUAUAUAUUGUUUAAUUUAAAUAAUUUUUUUUCUAAGAAAUAAAAUGGUUAACCAUUUUAUUUCUUAGAAAAAAAAUUUUAUUUAAUUAAACAAUAUAAAGCUUUCAAAAUACUUAAAUUUAAACAAAAGGAUUUGCAAAUAAAAGCGCUAAUGCUACAACUAGACCAUAAAUAGUUAAAGCUUCCAUAAAUGCUAAACUUAGCAGUAACGUGC